UGGGGACAUCUGGGGCUGUGGGGGACAUCGGGGGACAUUGGGGGCUGUUGGGGGACAUUGGGGACAUCUGGGGCUAUCGGGGACAUCUGGGGCUGUGGGGGACAUCGGGGGACAUUGGGGGACAUCGGGGGCUGUUGGGGGACACCAGGGGACAUUGGGGGUUGUUGGGGACAUCGAGGGCUUGGAACAUCGUGGGGACAUCCGAGUGCCACCGCGUCCCCAGCCCCACGUGUCCCCAAGUGUCCCCCCUGCCACUGCCCGUGGGGACCCCAGAGGCCCCCAGGGGAACUGGGGACAAACCAGGACCCCCCCNNNNNNNNNNNNNNNNNNNNNNNNNNNNNNNNNNNNNNNNNNNNNNNNNNNNNNNNNNNNNNNNNNNNNNNNNNNNNNNNNNNNNNNNNNNNNNNNNNNNCGGGAAGGCAGCUGGGGGAAGGGAGCCAAGCGCUCGGGGCGUGCCCCAAAUCCACGCGUUUCCACCCAAAACACUCUCCGGGAACUUUCUCUUUCCCUUCGGGAGCCGCGGCCGCGGUGAGGCUCCUGCGUGUUUCUUCCCCCGGCCCAGUUUUGGGUCCGUUUCACCCAAUUUGAUCAUUUCUGAGGGCCCUGGUCCCGGGAUUUACUGAAAUCUGUGAUAAACGCGGAAUUUGGGGCAAGCCAGCCUGAGACGCGACGCCUGGACCAGCUGAGGGGCCCUGAGGGUUGUCACCCCCCUGCCACCCGCGAUGUGGACGUCGGAUGUCACCGGGGCCACCAGCCCCACUGAGGUGUCCCCGGAGCUGCUGAAGCCGCUGGUGGACGUGGUGGCCACCAUGGGCAAGCUGGGGGCCACCAGCGGGCACAUUCCCCUGGCCAAGCCAUGGGAAUCGCUGCGGGGUGGCCUCCUCACCUUCAGGGCCGGCGUGCGCGAGGCCGUGAUCCACCGCGAUGGGGAGGCCGCCCGCCUGCGCCGAGCCCUGGCCACCACCGCCACCGAAGGGCCCGGUGUCCCCGCGGCCACCGCGGUGGCCACCGUCAGCGGCUGGCUGAAGGCGGUGGCCACCGUGGAGGCCGCCUGGGCAAAGCUGAAGGCGGAGGCCACCGGCCUGAAGGACGCCUGCGCGGUGGUCGCCGAAACCGGGGCCACCGCCGGGGCCACCGCCGGGGCCGCCAUGGGCAAGCUGGCGGAGGCGAUUGCCCGGGAGGACGAGGCCUGCAAGAAUCUGCGGGCUACCACCCACCUCCUGCCGCUGGCCUUGGAGCCCACCGAGCCGGCCGAGAAGAUGGAAGCCCACGACGCGCGGCUGGCGGGGGCCCAGGCGGGGCUGCAGGCGGCCAGCAAGGCCACCGAGGAGGAGGCGGUGGUGGUGGCGCACAUGAUGAAGGCCAAGGAGUGGGGACAGCGCGCGGCGGUGGCCUGCGAGCUUUUGGGGCAGCUGGUGGUGGCCUGUGACGGCGCCCACCGCUACUACUGCCACCUGCAGCGCUGCCUCAAGGACAUCGAGGCCAUGGUGGGCCCCGAGGCCACGCAGGGGGACGCGGGCAGCCCCAAAGGGCUGGCGGAGGCGGUGGCGGUGGCCGAGGCUCUGUGGGUCGCCAGCGCCCGCCUGGCCCAGGAGCACCUCCUGGGGAUGCUGAAGGUGGUCCACGUGCUGCUGACCACCGGUGGCACCACCGAUGGCACCGCCGAAGCCACGGACCUGGCCCGGCGCUGCCAAGAUGCCACCACCGCCCUCCCGGGGCUGCUGCCACCGGGGCUCGCGUAGGGGACGGUGGCUUUGGUGGCACCCAAAGGCAAUGGGUCAUGGAGCAGGAGCGUUUUGGGUGGAAAAAGGGCCUUCAAGGACACCAAGGCCAGGCUGAGCCAUGUCCCCUAGAGCCACGUCCCCCAGUGCCACCUCCCUUAGAGCCAAAUCCCUUAGUGCCACGUCCCCCAGUGCCAUGUCCCCUAGCGCCACAUCCUUUAGUGCCUUAUUGGCAAAAAAUUGAUUGAUUAAAUUGAUUAAAAAAACGGGACGUGGAGCGAUAAAAUGAGAAACCGAUGGACAAAAAUCAAUAAAAAGGAGAAAUAGUUUGAAAAAGUUUGAAAU
rnacentral:lncRNA from 1 species